rnacentral:rRNA from 1 species
UCCAGACUCCUACGGGAGGCAGCAGUGAGGAAUAUUGAUCAAUGGACGAGAGUCUGAACCAGCCAAGUAGCGUGAAGGAUGACUGCCCUAUGGGUUGUAAACUUCUUUUAUAUGGGAAUAAAAUGUUCCACGUGUGGGAUUUUGUAUGUACCAUAUGAAUAAGGAUCGGCUAACUCCGUGCCAGCAGCCGCGGUAAUACGGAGGAUCCGAGCGUUAUCCGGAUUUAUUGGGUUUAAAGGGUGCGUAGGCGGUCCUUUAAGGCAGCGGUAAAAUUGCGGGGCUCAACCCCGUCGAGCCGUUGAAACCGGCAGACUUGAGUUGGCGAGAAGUACGCGGAAUGCGCGGUGUAGCGGUGAAAUGCAUAGAUAUCGCGCAGAACUCCGAUUGCGAAGGCAGCGUACCGGCGCCAGACUGACGCUGAGGCACGAAAGCGUGGGGAUCGAACAGGAUUAGAUACCCGCGUAGG